rnacentral:tRNA from 1 species
GCGAAGGUGGCGGAACUGGCAGACGCGCUAGCUUGAGGUGCUAGUGUCCGAAAGGACAUAGGGGUUCAAGUCCCCUCCUUCGCA